rnacentral:rRNA from 1 species
GACGAACGCUGGCGGCGCGCCUAACACAUGCAAGUCGAACGAGCGAGAGAGAGCUUGCUUUCUCGAGCGAGUGGCGAACGGGUGAGUAACGCGUGAGGAACCUGCCUCAAAGAGGGGGACAACAGUUGGAAACGACUGCUAAUACCGCAUAAGCCUACGGUGCCGCAUGGCACAGAGGGAAAAGGAGUAAUCCGCUUUGAGAUGGCCUCGCGUCCGAUUAGCUAGUUGGUGAGGUAACGGCCCACCAAGGCGACGAUCGGUAGCCGGACUGAGAGGUUGAACGGCCACAUUGGGACUGAGACACGGCCCAGACUCCUACGGGAGGCAGCAGUGGGGAAUAUUGCACAAUGGGGGAAACCCUGAUGCAGCGACGCCGCGUGGAGGAAGAAGGUCUUCGGAUUGUAAACUCCUGUUGUUGGGGAAGAUAAUGACGGUACCCAACAAGGAAGUGACGGCUAACUACGUGCCAGCAGCCGCGGUAAAACGUAGGUCACAAGCGUUGUCCGGAAUUACUGGGUGUAAAGGGAGCGCAGGCGGGAAGACAAGUUGGAAGUGAAAUCUAUGGGCUCAACCCAUAAACUGCUUUCAAAACUGUUUUUCUUGAGUAGUGCAGAGGUAGGCGGAAUUCCCGGUGUAGCGGUGGAAUGCGUAGAUAUCGGGAGGAACACCAGUGGCGAAGGCGGCCUACUGGGCACCAACUGACGCUGAGGCUCGAAAGUGUGGGUAGCAAACAGGAUUAGAUACCCUGGUAGUCCACACCGUAAACGA